UACGAAGGGGGCUAGCGUUGUUCGGAUUUACUGGGCGUAAAGCGUACGUAGGCGGCUUUGUAAGUUAGAGGUGAAAGCCCGGGGCUCAACCCCGGAAUUGCCUUUAAGACUGCAUCGCUUGAACGUCGGAGAGGUGAGUGGAAUUCCGAGUGUAGAGGUGAAAUUCGUAGAUAUUCGGAAGAACACCAGUGGCGAAGGCGGCUCACUGGACGACUGUUGACGCUGAGGUGCGAAAGCGUGGGGAGCAAACAGG
rnacentral:rRNA from 1 species